AGAGUUUGAUCAUGGCUCAGAUUGAACGCUGGCGGCAGGCCUAACACAUGCAAGUCGAACGGUAACAGGAAGCAGCUUGCUGCUUUGCUGACGAGUGGCGGACGGGUGAGUAAUGUCUGGGAAACUGCCUGAUGGAGGGGGAUAACUACUGGAAACGGUGGCUAAUACCGCAUAACGUCGCAAGACCAAAGAGGGGGACCUUCGGGCCUCUUGCCAUCAGAUGUGCCCAGAUGGGAUUAGCUUGUUGGUGAGGUAACGGCUCACCAAGGCGACGAUCCCUAGCUGGUCUGAGAGGAUGACCAGCCACACUGGAACUGAGACACGGUCCAGACUCCUACGGGAGGCAGCAGUGGGGAAUAUUGCACAAUGGGCGCAAGCCUGAUGCAGCCAUGCCGCGUGUAUGAAGAAGGCCUUCGGGUUGUAAAGUACUUUCAGCGGGGAGGAAGGUGUUGUGGUUAAUAACCGCAGCAAUUGACGUUACCCGCAGAAGAAGCACCGGCUAACUCCGUGCCAGCAGCCGCGGUAAUACGGAGGGUGCAAGCGUUAAUCGGAAUUACUGGGCGUAAAGCGCACGCAGGCGGUCUGUCAAGUCGGAUGUGAAAUCCCCGGGCUCAACCUGGGAACUGCAUUCGAAACUGGCAGGCUUGAGUCUUGUAGAGGGGGGUAGAAUUCCAGGUGUAGCGGUGAAAUGCGUAGAGAUCUGGAGGAAUACCGGUGGCGAAGGCGGCCCCCUGGACAAAGACUGACGCUCAGGUGCGAAAGCGUGGGGAGCAAACAGGAUUAGAUACCCUGGUAGUCCACGCCGUAAACGAUGUCUACUUGGAGGUUGUGCCCUUGAGGCGUGGCUUCCGGAGCUAACGCGUUAAGUAGACCGCCUGGGGAGUACGGCCGCAAGGUUAAAACUCAAAUGAAUUGACGGGGGCCCGCACAAGCGGUGGAGCAUGUGGUUUAAUUCGAUGCAACGCGAAGAACCUUACCUGGUCUUGACAUCCACGGAAGUUUUCAGAGAUGAGAAUGUGCCUUCGGGAACCGUGAGACAGGUGCUGCAUGGCUGUCGUCAGCUCGUGUUGUGAAAUGUUGGGUUAAGUCCCGCAACGAGCGCAACCCUUAUCCUUUGUUGCCAGCGAUUAGGUCGGGAACUCAAAGGAGACUGCCAGUGAUAAACUGGAGGAAGGUGGGGAUGACGUCAAGUCAUCAUGGCCCUUACGACCAGGGCUACACACGUGCUACAAUGGCGCAUACAAAGAGAAGCGACCUCGCGAGAGCAAGCGGACCUCAUAAAGUGCGUCGUAGUCCGGAUUGGAGUCUGCAACUCGACUCCAUGAAGUCGGAAUCGCUAGUAAUCGUGGAUCAGAAUGCCACGGUGAAUACGUUCCCGGGCCUUGUACACACCGCCCGUCACACCAUGGGAGUGGGUUGCAAAAGAAGUAGGUAGCUUAACCUUCGGGAGGGCGCUUACCACUUUGUGAUUCAUGACUGGGGUGAAGUCGUAACAAGGUAACCGUAGGGGAACCUGCGGUUGGAUCACCU
rnacentral:rRNA from 2 species